rnacentral:rRNA from 1 species
CCUACGGGUGGCAGCAGUGGGGGAUAUUGCACAAUGGGGGAAACCCUGAUGCAGCGACGCCGCGUGGGCGAAGAAGUAUCUCGGUAUGUAAAGCCCUAUCAGCAGGGAAGAAGAAAUGACGGUACCUGAGUAAGAAGCACCGGCUAAAUACGUGCCAGCAGCCGCGGUAAUACGUAUGGCGCAAGCGUUAUCCGGAUUUACUGGGUGUAAAGGGAGCGUAGGCGGCACGGCAAGCCUGAUGUGAAAGCCCGCGGCCCAACCGCGGGACUGCAGUGGGAACUGGCGGGCUGGAGUGACGGAGAGGUAGGCGGAAUUCGUAGUGUAGCGGUGAAAUGCGUAGAUAUUAGGAAGAACACCAGUGGCGAAGGCAGCCUACUGGACGGUGACUGACGCUGAGGCUCGAAAGCGUGGGGAGCGAACAGGAUUAGAUACCCCUGUAGUC